rnacentral:sRNA from 1 species
GCUGGGCAUGGUGGCGCAUGCCUUUAAUCCCAGCUACUUGGGAGGCUGAGGUAGGAGAACUGCUUGAACCAGGGAGUUGGAGGUUGCAGUGAGCCAAUAUCGCACCACUGCACUCCAGCCUGGCAACAGAGUGAGGCUCCGUACUACAAAAAAAAAAAAAUACAGACAGCAUCUUACUCUGUUGCCCAGGCUGGAGUGCAGUGGCACGAUCAUAGCUCACUGAAACCUUCACUUCCUGGGCUUAAGCGAUCCUCCCACCUU